CCCAUACCCGACGCGGGCGGCCCCGGCGGCCACCUUCUCCCCCGCGGCCACCUUCUUCCCCCUAACCGACGCGGGUAGCCCCGCGGCCACCUCCUGCCCCCUGAGAUGGAACAUUUGUUUGAACAAAACUAGUCUGUAGAAAUCAUUUCCCUCCGAGUAGUUUCGAUUCGUAUCCUACUGAGUUGUUUUGAUUACUGAUACAACACUCUAACAUUAUGUUUUCUUUUGAUUUGGAUUGGCUUUUCGAUUCGAAUCCUACUGAGUUGUUUUCGAUUUGAUUUGGAUUGGCUUUUUCUUUUCCCUUUUCUUUGUCUUAUGAUGGAUUCAGCCCAUUAUAUGAUGAAGUCAUCAUCCCGUGCCUCGAUCUUGGGGAAGUUGAUGCGGCUAUUGCAAUAGUUGCAGAUAUGGAGGCUGGCGGAAUCAAAGUUGCAGACCAAACCCUAGACAAGGUGCUUUCUGCUAGACAAUCUGUUGAUUCUCCAACAGACGAGUCAUUUAUUAUGGCGGAAUCAAAGUUGGUGACACUUAUCAAGCCUUACUAAAAGUUUUGAGAACGAAUAAUAUAUUGUUAUUAAAUUGAAGGUCAAUGUGGAGUUUUGUCAAGAAGCUGCAUGCCAAUUUGGAACUCUAGAGAGGGAAAAAAUGCAGUGAGUUUGUCAGAUUGGCUUGAUCAAUCUGUUUGGUCAUUCGUUCAUGUGUAAAUGAACCCUUUUUCUUGUUUUAUUUUGAAGGGUCAUGCUGCUGUAUACAAAACUGAAAAUAAAACUGAAAAUGGUGUGAUUUCGAAUGAUUUAGGAAACAAAACCCUGUAUCUUAUCGAAAUUGGUUUAGGAAACAAAACUGAAAAUAAAAUUUCAAUGGUGUGAUUUCGAAUGAUUAGCGCAUCUAUUAGAAUAAACAUGAUGACAA
rnacentral:lncRNA from 1 species